ACAUGUCGCCCCCCGAGGUGGCCGCCCACCUCCCUGCCCGGACCCUUGAGUCGGCCGAGAUCAUCGACCUGGUCCUCUGUUGCCUCACGAGCCACUCGCUCCUUGCGUGCAAGUCCGAGACACUCAACAAUGGGAGGACUGUGGAGAGGCGGUACGCAAUAUCGCCGGCCGGGAAGUACUACGUCAGGGAUGAGGAUGGCAGCUCCGUCGGCUCGCUCUCUCUCUCUCUUCGCCUUCCACCGAGCUACCAUUGACGUCUGGUGAAUGGAAAUUCCUUCGUCUGUGAAUAUAUGACCUAUAUAUGAUAUGAAAGAUAUUACUUGGGACAGGCUCAAGAUGCACUGUCAUCUUAAAACCCAACAAGAGAGAAAUUAGAUCGAGCGAUGAAAUUUGAAUAAAAAAAAAACCUUAUUUACCUUUUUGGCAAUUACAGGCUCCAAUUCAAGGAAGCAAUUUUGGGAGGAGGAGGCAACUUGUUCCAAAAGGUCCAUGGCAAGACCAUUUUCCAGUGCAUGAAGGAGGACUCGUCCCUGAACAAGCACUUCAACGACGCGAUGGCCGGCCUCUCCACGACGCAGACGAGGAAGAUCCUCGAGGUCUACCACGGGUUCGACAGGAUCAUGACUCUAGUUGACGUCGGUGGCGGAAAAGGCGCGACACUUAACAUGAUUGUCUCAAAGUACCCCUCGAUCAAGGGCAUCAACUUCGAUUUGGCCCAAGUCAUCGAACAUGCCCCUUCCUAUCCCGGUACAUUAAUUAUCACAUGCUUCCCUGACUUAGUUGCGCUUAUUUAGGUUCCAAUUAUUUAGCACAAAAUCAUGUUUGCCAAAAAUUAGAGGCGUUAUUGUUCCCAAAUUAGGCCUACAAUUACAUUAGUAAAAAUGGCGCGCAGGCGUGGAGCACGUCGGAGGGGACAUGUUCCUGAGUGUCCCGGAGGGCGACGCGAUCAUGAUUAAGGCAAGCUUCGUCAAUCCUUCUCAUUAAUUAUACUACUCGAACGCGAGCCAUGUCCUAACUUUAUAUGACUCCGCAAAUUGGGCAGGGCACGUGCCACAAUUGGAGCGACGAGUCUUGCAUAAAGUUACUGAAGAACUGUUACAAGGCGUUGCCGGCGAAUGGGAAGGUGAUCGUGAUGGACUUCAUAAUGCCAGACGAGCCGGAGGAUACAAUGGCGUCUCGAUACGUGUCACUGCUCGACAACGCCAUGUUGAUCCAGCCAGGAGGGAAGGAGAGGACCGAGAAGCAGUUCGAGUACCUGUGCAGAGAAGCAGGAUUCACAGGCUUUAAGGUCGCUGCCCGAGCUGUGUCUGCACUGGGAGUGAUUGAAUUCACCAAGUGAUCGAAUGGAACUCCAUGAUGCUUCUGGUAUGAUGUUCUUUCUUUUCUUCUUAGCCUCUGUCGGAUUUGUACCUCUUUGUCCAGGACCAGGUGGUCUUAUCUCGUGUGCACGAAGCAAAUAGGCAUUGUGGAAUUCAAUGAAUAUGAAAUGCCUUGGCAGGGAUUUUUCUGCCAUCAAGAUUUUUCUCUUUUGGUUUAGCCUUAGCUCUCUUUAUAGAUGAGGUUAAUACUAUGAAAAACUCUAAACCAAUACACUUAUAACGAAUUUAUCCCGAAAUUUAUUUUUUGACCACCAAAAACUUCAACUAGUAUACCUACGAAAAAUCUACCCAAACCGGUAAACAUCUAACAAAUGGAGGAUAAAACCUUAAAUCGAUACAUCUGCCACAUAAUAUUCGACUCAACAAUUUGAUAGUAAAAUUUAACGAAAACUAAAUGAAUGUAAAUUUAUUACAAGUAUAUCAAUUUAAGAUUUUUCGUGAUAUUAAUCUUUUUUUAUAUAAGUGUUGACACCUAAAUUUUGGCGACCCGCUUAGUCAUUUAUUGCAUUAAAAAAUUAAGGGUUAAUUUUAUUCCGGAAAAAAUAGUUAAUUGCAUAGCAUAUAAUUUUAGGUGCAUUUGUUUCUUAAUUUGCAUUUACAUUGGGUCGGUGACAAAUGGGUUUGAUUUAGUAGUUCUAAGCUUUAAUUUGGCAGGUCGGACUAAGCCCACGAAGCAAGUAAAUUGGCCCGAGCCCGUUUUCUUUUAAUGACAAGAAUUACCUAAAUUGAGAUUUGAAAUAAUAUUACGGUGGAUUUUUGGAAUUUAAGAAAAUCGGGUUGCAAUCUUAUCUUUAGGUGAUAAAAUCAGGAGAUGUGGAAAAUAAAAGAAAAGUGAUAUUGCGUGCGAAAAAGAAAUCUUCGCGGAUGCUGAUUUGAAAAGGAAAAUAAAACCCUAAUCUUCAGCCUAUAAAAAGGUUUUCGCGUAGGGUUUCAGUGGAGGCCACACACAUUGAAUAUACGGCCACAAUAUAGAGAGAAAACACAUGUGAGAGAGAGGAAUGUUCGGCCAAGCAUCACGUGGCUGCAACCUUGCUAACCCCACGGCUGAGCUUCAUAUCGCGUGCACCAUGAGACGGUGACCAUUGCCGCGCCUCCUCGUCAACAACGAAGCCGUGAAGCCUUGCUCGAGCUGCUGUCCCGACGUGCCCCGAGCUCUACCCUCAUCGUUGAGUUCCAGCAGUCCCAGGAGAGGUUCUUUUGCCGAAAGUAUUCAAGUUGAAUAUUAUCCAGUCAAAGAAGACAAUUCCGCAGAAGAUCCAUUCUCUGACUUGCAAAAUAUGUCAGAGCCAACGUGGUGAAGUCCGAACUCCAAAUUCAGUCGUGUGGGCAAAAAGGAUCAAUCCACAAUUCGACGCGUUCACUCAUCAUCAAAGGCCACCUGUUCUGCCUCGCCUACAAGUCAUCCCAUACAACGUUCCUGAUUCAAGCAGCCACGAUCCUGUCGUUGCCAAUUGCCCACAAUCGCCGAUCCAGAGAGGACAAGAGAGUGACCAAAAGCAUAAAAAAAAAAAAAAAAAAAAAAAGAGAAGCCUUUGAAGCGGUGCUCUUUGUCUGGAGUGGUCCAAGGCGAGAGAAGCAGAGGAAGCUUUUUGCCAAAAAGACAAGAAAGGGGAAGCCGAUCCUUCAUCAAUAUCACAUAUUUGCAUUCCACUAACAUUCUUUUCUUAAUUCUUUUUUUCAGGUUCUGCCCACAUCCUCGUCAUUGUAGAAAACGCCAAGGAGAGACCCCACAUUUGAGUAUUAACAAAUCCCAAGAGGCUUCACGGAGAUCCUCAAUGCGAGUCCCAGUCUCGGUAAAUCACGUCCACCGUGGGUCAACAAUCGCAAGCCGAGCAAACCUGCUUUGCCGUCCUUGUCCUUUGCUGUCGACGUGCCUCAACGAAUUGAAGACAUUGAUGAGCCACUUGUGAUCCACCACGAGACAACUUGUUCUCCUAACGCCGUGCCGAGCCUAUCGCGAGUUCAUCCAUGAGCCGGGCCAUCCCGUAAAAGUUCUGCCUUUGUAGGUUCAUUGGCCAUAAACUGCCCAUCGCUGUCCCACCCGAAGCGCCGGUUGCAGUCCCGGUCCAAUUGCGCAAAGUCCAAAUUGGAAAUUAAUAUUCGGAAUAGGUAAAAAUUUUGAUUAUUUUAAUUUCCGAAAAUUCCGUUUCCUUAUUUGAUAUGUUUGUUGAUGCACAUGACCGAUAUUCGCAACUCGAGUAGUCUUCUAAAUUAGGAAAUCUUCCUAAUUCCGCAACGUGCAUAUGAUUGAUGGUCCGAUUUCAUGCUCGAAAUACGACCCGCAAUCGCACGGAAAAAUCACCAAUCCGAUCUCACGCUCGAGAUACGAUUCGUGAUUUUUAUUUAAAAAUUGACCGAUCCGAUCUCAUGCGCGAGAUACGAUUCGUCAAUUUAUUUCCAAAAUUAAAUGGACAUGGAUGAUAUCUUGCUUGAUUUGUUGCAGUGCUAUUCUCGAUGCCUUUAUUUGAUUGCUCCCGUAAGGGAAAAACCCAAAAAAAAAAAUAAUUGAGUUAGGUUAAAUGCAUGUUAGGAUGUUACUGGUUUUAAUGUUAUGUUGCAUGUUUAGGAUAGGAAAUUUAUUUCGAAUUUCUUAAAUAAAAAGACCAAAAACAUUAAUUUAGGAUAUCAUAUUUUCUUCUCAUUAAUUUAAAUUGCACGUUUAAUUAUUUGGCAAUUUUAAAUUUCGAAUUUCAUAAAAAAUUUAGAAUUAGGGCAGUUUUGCACGUCAUUGCAUAUUAUGAUAGAUUGCAUACUUAUUAGGAAAAUAAAAAUCAUGUGCACGUUUUAUAGAAUUAGGUUCAUACUAUGCACGUCAUUUAGUGAUUUUUGCUAGGCCCAUUUAAUUAGAAAUUACAUGUCAUUAGAAUUAGGUCAUUUAGUUAAUAUUGCAUUGCAUAUUGCAUGAUUUUCAUUAAUUAAGUGAAAAAAAAAAACAAAAAUUGCGUGUUAAUUAGAAACCAUAUCUAGGGUUGUUGAUGUGGAUUUUAAUUUAACAUUGCAGAUGCUUUCGUUGCUUUGAGGUAAGUCCUGCAAUUUAUUUAUUGCUUUACUUGGGUGUUAAAUUGGUGGUUUGCGCACCUGCAUGAACACCUCACAUGUUAGGUAAUUAGUUUAAAAUCAAUUCAAGCUGCCUGCAAAACCUUUUUUUUAAAUAAGAGAAAUGGUACCGAAAGGGCGUUAGAGAAAUCUAGCGUAAUCAAGUCCCCGUACCCAUAGUCUCUGGUUCGUAGAAGUAAAGUAAUUCUCCCGUUAUUUUACUUGGGUUUCUAAUCGACCCACCAAAAAUAGAUUAGUGGCGACUCCUAGUUAAAAUUCAAUUGCAUGUUAACAAUUCAAACCUAAGUCGCGAAUUGGUAUGGGCUUGGGAGAGCCCGAGUUAAGUCUAGGCUUAACAAUCCAUUAGCCAAACCCUAGGUGGUUCACACCCCGAUAAAUUGGUCGCGACAAUAAGUAAUAAGAUGAAACGUUUAAAAAUCAACGAAGUAAUGUCUAAACCCAAUGAUUCAAGGCAAAGAUAAAAUAUUUUGGAACAAGGGAAUAUCUUUUUUUUAAUUGUCUCGACAACUAGAUCAAGAAUAAGGAGUCCAAAUAUAUUCUAAAUGAGACAAAGAAAAAGGGGUUUGAAAAGAAUGUAUAUAAAUUCAUAUCUAAGGAAAAAAGUAUGAUAAGCAAUCAUAAAGCAAUCCCUAAGACUUAAUAAAUUUUAUCAUACAAUGUAUGUAAACCCAAUGCAAAGAGUUUUUCCGUAAUUUUUUUCAGUUGAUUUGAGAGAGAGAGAGAGAGAGAGAGAAAUUUGGUGAAAAUAUGUGCUUUAACUAAAAUUGAUGUGGAUAUGACCCCACCUUUUUUGUUAUUCUAUAAAAUCAAAUAUAUGAUUUUAAUUGUUUCUUUAAUAAUAUUUUAUUGUUGUAUAGUUUUAGAAAUUUGCUCAAGUUUAGUAAGUUUUAGUUUAAUAUAUUUGUUGAUAAUUGAUUAUCGUUUGUUAAAAUUAAGAUGUGGGUCUUAUAAUUUAAAUAAGUACUAAAAUUUUGAAGGGCCUUUCUUGUUUUUCCUUUUCUUUUUGUUUUUUUUUUCAUAUCGCAGACAAUGCCAAAAACAAUGGCGAAGUGAGUAGCUGUCAACCAUCAACCACCCGACUAUGGCUCUAGCACUCAAACCAUUGGAGAAGUUGCACUACUUUUUCCUCCAUACCAUCACAAGUAAACGAUAUUGACUCGAUAGCUAGUUCUUAACCAUCCAUUGGUUUUUUGCUUAGUCACCUUUUAUGAUAAUACAUACUAUACAAUUGAUCUUUUGAGUUGAACUUGCUUCAAACAAGAUAAUUAUCUUGCUCUUUUAGGUUGAGCUCAUUAUACAAGUUGGAUCAAUCACAACAGUCCAAUCCCACAAUUUUUAAUGGUGUUCUCAAUGUGGAAAAUUAGGGGGAAGCUUGACUAAUGGGAUGUCGACUUUGAGAAUUUGCACCCGCACUCACUAGAGAAAUCCAAUACACAUAAGUUACAUGAUUGGGACUAAGUGAGACUAGUUUUAUUGAGGCAUACUAGAUAACACCUACUAUGCACAUUGAACAUGGAUGCAUAUCUUCGAAUUGUCGCAUUCUAGAAGGCCGAAUCAAAGCUAUACCACCUUAUUCACCCACCAAAGCAACGGCGUCGCCUGUAUUUGAUUAAACAUGGAUCUAGGAAGAGAGUAAUUCAUAAUGAUCCAAUUAUCUUACACUACAACUAAAUGACGGAGAGCCGCUAUUCUAGUCACCUUACAAAACGCAAGCUUUCAUUUAAUCAGAUUUCCAAUCACUCAUUAAUUGCAGCUUGUCUUGAUGAGCAUCAUAAAAGUAAAAAAGGAAAAAAUAAGCAAGGGAAUUUUAUUUAUAUUUAUUUUAAAAUACUAUGGAAAAGUAACAAAAAAGUCAUAAGCCUAUUGCAUUUAUAUCAAUUCAGUCAUAAACUUUUUAAUUGAUCAAAUUUAGUCCUAAACAUUUUUACAUUGUACCAAUUGAGUACAUCCAAUCAAUUUUGGUUGGAAAUCAUCGACGUGAAUGUUGGCCAUCGUACUUUUUUUAAUAAUAUUCUAAUAAAAUUUUCAUUUUUUUUGAAAUUUUUUAUUUUUUUUGGUUUUUUUCUUUCUUUUUUAUUCUUUACUCUUUUUUUUCUUUUUAGCUGACUGAUAGCUAGGGCAAGGAAACCCUUGCUGGAGAAGAGACUUGAGGCUUCAAUCAAGCAAAUGACGCACCUGGUGAGGCGAAAUCAAGCUAGAGCAUUGUGAUUGCAGGCUGAAAAAGAAAGAAGAAGAUUCUCUCAGGCAAAUGGAGGUCAAUUCUAUGAGCUGCACCAAAAAAGACAGCGCGUCGAUCCAGACGAGGAGGAGCAAAGCCGCGACAGUCGGAGAAGCCAUUAGAGGGUGACAAUACAACAAGUGAGGGACACAAAACACAGGAAGGCGAAGAAGAGGAGGAGGAGGAGGAGGAGGCCAAACCUAGGAACCGACAGGGAAAAAGAUAAACACAAAAGAAAAAAAAAUAGGACUAGUGACCAAGAAGUCUCUGUCCGCCUACACAAAUUUGGUUUCAGAACAUUAAUUGAUCUGAGAGUUUUUUUGAAUGGCUUCGCUAUUUCUGAUAACUGGGAGAUAAACCUCGUUGCAUAAUGCAAUCUUCCCAAUAAAUUUUGAACUUCUUUGACAGUACAAGGAGGUUUCAAGUCGCAAAUGACCUUCACCUCAAUACCCCUACUACUAAUGACAUCCAAGAAACUUUCCAGACUUUGCCCCAAAUAUGCAUUUGGUGGGGUUAAGCCUCGACUUGAACUUUCUAAGUCUAUCAAACAACUUCCUCAAGACUUCAACGUGAUCUUUACCUUGUCUCAUUUUAAUGAUCAUGCCAUCGACAUAAAUUUCAAUUUCUUUAUGCAUCAUAUCUUGGAACAAUGCCACCAUAGCUCUUUGAUAAGUUGCCCCUAUAUUUUUCGGGCUAAAGGGCAUCACUUUAUAACAAAAGGUCCCCAUGAAUCGAUGAAAGAUAUCUUAAUCUUGUCUUCUUCCUUUGUUCGGAUUUGGUUAUAACAAGAGAAUCCAUCAAUAAAAGAGAAAAAUUCAAAUCCCGUCAUACUAUCAAUGAGGAUGUCGAUGUGUGGCAAAAGAAAAUCAUCCUUCGAACUUGCUUUGUUCAAGUCGUGAUAAUCAACGCAUACCCGGAUUCGUCCAUCUUUCUUCAUGAGGUUUUAAACUUCGUCUAUUUACCCAAGCCCAUUUUGUUAAAGUGUGCCUAUCGACCAAGAAGUCUUGAAGAUAUCAUGCAAUCUCUUUAAUCAAUCGGAUAAUUAUUCUGAAGGAAUAAGACACCAAAAGUACUUAUUCAUAAUGAAGCUCCACGCCCCCACUAAAGACAGAGAUCGGACAACUUUCUAUUAAAAGAAGGUAUAGCCAACUUCUUAUGAACCAGAAGCUUAUUUUCUGAAAUACAUGAAAAUAAAGUUGAAGUGUUGUCAAGCAUAUAAAAUAAGAAUCAUGAAAUCAGGAUAUUUGUAUCAAAAAGAAAAUAAUGAGCAUCUAUAAACAGUAACAAGCGAGAUCAACUCCUACCUAUGAUAAUAUUUUUAUAGCCUUGCCUGCUUCUUUCAUUGUUCUCUAAUCAAUUCCCGCAUAAGUUAGCAGCUUUUUUCCCUUUCUCCCAAUGCACAAAUCCUUCUACAACUGCCUUCCAUGUUUCCUUGUCCAGAGCACAUCCAUCAUGCACCAUAUCCUCAAAUACUCGAGCAGCUUUAUCUAUAUCUCCUUUCCUAAAGAAAUAUCAAACAAGAGUACUGAAAGUCGAAGCAUCAUCAGAAAUUCCUCUGGCCCGCAUGCUUAGGUAAAGCUGAUAAGCACGAUUUAUUUCGCCAUGACUAGCAAGGCCUUGAACGACUGCAUUGUGGAUUCUGACAUGAAUAGACCAAGUUAAACGAUUGGGACAGAUUCCUUCUAGUAUCAUCUCAUCAAGGGAGUUGGCACCAUCCUGAAAUUUGCACUUGUCACAAAAGCCGGGAAUGAUCUUGCCAUAAAGUCCUGCAUCUGGCUUCAAGGCUUUAAGCUUCAUCCUGUCAAGCGUCUACAAAGCUUCAUAAGCUUUCCCUUCUUUACAGAGCCCAUGGAUUAAAGUGCUGAAAGUUAUCAUGUUGGGCCUCAGCCAUUUCCUAACCAUCAUGUCCAAAAGGUCCAUUGCUUGAGAAGAACACCCACUCUUGCAAAAUCCAUCCAUUAAUGUACUGAAAGUAAAAACAUUAGGCUCAAUACCUUUUUUUUUUUUUUUGAUAACCGAGAACUCCACCACGGGCCUCCCAUACCCGAACGGCACCAAAGGGACGGGCCCCUAUAUCUCGAGGGAGACUAGCAUAGGACCCCACCACUAUGGCCCCCCACUUAAGACGUGUUAGCAGCCGCGGAGUUUCGACCCUGCAACCUCUGCGAUGAAGUGCCCAAAGCCGAACCAACUCAACUGCCCACCGAUGGGUCUCAAUACCUUUGCCCACCAUCUGUUCAAACAAUCCAAAAGCUUCAUCGAAAUUCUCAGAUUGACAAAGACCGUCAAUCGUGGAAGUGUAGGUGAUUACACUAGGUGAACAACCUUUUGUCUCCAUCUCUUCAAAUAGUUUCCUGGCAUCACCAAUUUUCCCCCAUUUACACAAUCCAUUUAUCAAAGUACCAUAUGUAAUCCAUCGUUCCACUGUUCUUGCAAAAAGCUUUGAUCAAAACAUUAAGGGAAGCAACAAUAGGUGAUACACCGAUCACCCUCAUGUGGUUUUCCUCGACAGGCAUAUCCAAAAUAGUGACAUAUGACUUGGGUGAAGGUUUGCAUUGGAAACAAUUCAUCGUCUGGAAUAUCCUCAAUGAAUCCAGCGGCCCAUGAACCCGCCCACAGCCUCUGCAGAUGGAGAGAAAUAUGUCUUCUGUAAGAUUACACUGCUGUUCUUUCAUUCUCUGAAGAAGCUUCUCUGCUGUCCAGAACUAAUAUGCAGAGACCAAUUUCGAUAUGAUAAGACUAAAGGUUUUCUCAUCAUGGCAAAAACCAUUACUAUGCUCUGCUGUUGCUGAAUCAAAGACCAGCAUUGCCCAUUGUACGUCCCUUUCAGCCCUAACAAGCUGCUCUACUUGGGACGUUGUAAUUUUAUUGGACCAUUUGAUUCUACUGGUCAUCGAAGCGAACUUUUUAGUCUAAUCACAGCUUAGGCGAAAUUGGAACAUUCGCUGACCCCCACUCACAAAGAGAUGAUCCACGUUGGGCUUUCCGCAGAGCGAGCCAAAUAACAAUCAUCUAAUAACUGUGCCAGUCACCACGAAUGCAGCAAUCUGCAUCAAACAAAGAUUUUAUUUCUCCCACGUAUAACUUACCAAGACUUUACAGUCAAUGAAAGAAGACAUAUCUUGCAGACAAGAGGGAAAAAAAACAUAUUUCAGCCUAACCAAUCUCUUAAAAGGGAAAAACAAGAAGAGGGUGCAAUCACAACUCCAAAGAUACACGCCUCUUCCACUCAUCAUCAAAUGGCUUGAGAAAGAAUCUGAUCUAGCAAUAAAAGCAAACGCAGAGAAAGCUUGACAAGAAAUUUUCAUCACGGUUCGCUCUUUGGACUCAUUUUUCGUAACAACACUUGAAGAACCGCAUCAAGAAGUUGAUUCUCUAGGUGGGUUGGGUCGGAUUACAUUGGAUAUCACAAUGCCAUUCAUCCUGAAACUCCCAUCAAACACAUGGUGUGCAAGGGAUGUUCAUCGAACGCGAUAAACACCGUCGCCGUCAGUGCGCUAAACAUCAUAGCUGAACCGUCGCUAGCAACAUGGGACAACCAAAAAGAACAUCGUAUCUUGAUAAGGAAGCCUGGACACUUUUAGCGACAAGGGGGUUGGAUGUGGCCGAGCGCCACAGUGAAAAAAGAAAAAUAAAUACUAAAAAGAAAAAAAAUUGCACUGUCCAUCGUCUUUUCCACGAGGAAAAACGGUACUUUCUCGUCCAGAAAACGAAGCUUCAAGAAGGUCGAGCCUGAGCAGCCGCCUCUCCAGCUCGAAGCUUGGCUUGUCUUACCACCAUGGCCAAGCUUCAAAACUCACGGCCGCCUUGACUGCUCUAGCUCAAAGCUUGGCUCAAAGCUUGGCUUGAGGGUCUGACCUUGUCCUUCCAAGCUCGCGGGUAGUUGCAAAAUGCCGAGAACAAGCUUCGAAGCGACUUGAAGGUCAAGCUUCAAAGCUUGCAGGAGGUCGCAAGCCACCAAGGCCAAGCCUUGAAACUCGCGACCUAUUAGAAUAAAAUAAAAUUGAUUGUUGAAAAUUUGAGCAUGUUGAAUUUGUUAUUAGUAUUCUUCAAGAUGCUUAAUCUAUGGUAGGUGUCAAAAAAGAUUGAAGACAAAUGAAUUUCAGCACGAUUUAUGGUGGGCUAUGAUUGAGUAGCCCCUCCACCAUACAAUGAGUAAUUGCUUUCAUAUUGAAAAAUGAGGGAGAAGUACACUAUCGAUGCCAUAAGUUGUGUACGGCACUCACUUUGGUGUCAAAACUUUCCGUCGGAUCACUUAAGUGCCAAAUCGGAGGAAAAACGAUCACUUUAGUGCCACCAGUGAGAAUUCCGGCUAAAAUGAUUACGUGACUUUAAAAAAAAAAAAAUCGACAAGGCCUUUAAACGACGUCGUUUUCGUCCUCCUUAAGAAAACAACGUCGUUUUGCCAUCCUAAGUGGAUGGCCUCGAGAAAACAACAUCGCACAACUCAUUUGGGUUUUUUUUGGGGGGGAUUGAAAUUAGGGUUUUUUUGUCCGAUCCUUGCCCAACGCCGGCCGCCGUCACUCGACCUCCGUCGCUCGACCGCCAUCGCUUGGCCUCCAUCACUCGGCUACCGUUGCUCGGCCAAAGUUGGUCAGCCUCCAUCGCUCGGGCCUCUGUCGUAAUAGCACCGUGUCCCAAUCUCGGUAACAUUUCACCAGCUUCAACGUUCUCAAAUUCUUCUAGCCAGGACCACGUCCAGCAGCUCUGAGUGGGCAUGGAGGGCGAGCCUCUAGCGGCUCUGACCUUCGAUCGCAAGCUAGUGGCGGCACACAAGGGAGCACCGGCCCAAGUCGCUGAAGCCUAGGUACUGGAAGACACAGGCCAAGCACUCGUCAGGGAGAUCAAAGAUGGAGAGGGAGAGAUCGGGGGCAGUGCACUCAUCGGCGGCCUCCUCAAGCACCGACCAAAUCACGGCCUUCAACUUGGCCGCCGAGUAGCCGUCGUCAAGGUUGGGGUCGAGGUCGGAGCCACAGCCGCCGAGUGACGGGGCCGUCGAGGACGGCGACUGGUCGGAGAUUUAGGGUUUUGAAUUGAGGGUGACACACUAAAUGACGUCAUUUUGUUGUUUAAAUGUUGACUGUACUCUCCGGCAAGCCACAUCAGCUUCAAAAAUUAAUAAAAAAAAGUGCCACGUCGGAUUUCCAGCUAAUCAAAUCGGAGUUGGCACCGAAGUGAGCAUUUUUCAAACUUUUUGGCACUUAAAGUGAUCCGACAGAAACUUUCGACACCAAAGUGAGCGCCGUACAAAAUUUAUGGCAUUGAUAGUAUACUUAUCCCCAAAAAUGAGGUCUUGUUUGUCUUUCCUUAGUCAAAGAACAUAAGGUUACUUUUUUGUCAAAAGGAGCAAAGACUUCAUGUCUUUAUCUCAUUUUUUUGUUGUGCGUUUUUCCUUCAGCUUUCUAGACUUUCUUGUUUUCUUCAUUUAAUGUUAGUUAAGUUAUGUACACUUUCAACUUCUUUAAAAGGUUGUGGACUUCAGAUUUGUAGCAACACUAAAGCCAAGAGCAUUUGUUUUUACUUUUUGUUGGUGCAAUUCAGCUAAAAUAAAAGGUUUUUUUUUUUUAAUUCGAACUGGUUUUUUUCUAUUAAGAUAAAAACGUAAAGGGGAAAAAAUAAAAAAAUUUAAAUUUUUGCACAUUUACCAUAAUUUUUUUUUAUGAUACCAAAAAUCAUAAAGAAACACAUUGAGACACAUUUAUUCUUCAUUACAAUUUCAUUCAAAAUAAUAAUAAAAAAGCUGACGUAAAUUUGAUGUGACACUUUUAGGCUAUUUUUGAUAGUUAAGAUAAAAUUUAGGAUAAGAUAAAUUUAUUAUGUUCUACAUUUGGUGGAUAUUUAAGAUAAAAUAAAAUUAGAUAUAAAAAGAAUAUAAACCAAAUAAAAUUAUUCCAUAAAGGAAGUGGGAUAAAGUGGAUAGAAUAUCUAAUAUUAAUAAUAAGAAAGUUAUUAUUUUUUUUCAACCACAAACUUAUUAAAUUAACAAAAUUAAAAUUAUAUUUCAAUAUAAUUAAUAUUUGAAUUUUAAUAUGAGAAAUUCAAAAUAACAAAAAAAUAACAAUUUAUUUUAAUUUAAUCUUAUUUUUAUUUAUAUAUUUGAAUUUAAUUACAUUUUAUAAUAUAAAUUCAAUAUAUAAAUUUAUAUAUAUACUUAUAUUUAUUACAUAUUUUAGGCAUUUUAGUAUUUUAGAUACAUUAGUACAGUUUAUUGUUUAAUAAACUAAUGAUGAAAGGAGAAGAAACAAAUAAAAAAAAAAGAUAUUAAUUAAAAAGAAGAGGAAAAUAAAAUAAAAAUAAAGUAUAAGAGAUUUUUUUGUAAAAUAUUUUUGUUCAUUUAUAUUAAUAUACCAUUUAUAUCAAAUAAUAAUAUAAUAUAAAUAUAUCCAAUUUUAUUACUAUAAUCAUCAAAUAAUUGAUAAGAUAUAAAUAAAUCUUAUCAUAUCUAAUUUUAUUUAACUAAAAAUUCGAAUGGUCAAAUGUAGCAUUAAGAAUAAGUGGGUCCCACGAGGCCGUAAGUGCGCACCACGUUUUUAUUUUUUUUUAUUUUUUUUAACAAAAGUUUGCACCACGUUAGAAAAGGUCAAAAAAAUCUAAAAAAGACGAAAGAAAUUGCACCGCCCAUCGUCUUCCUCCCGAGGAAGAACAGUACGAAGCUUCAAGAAUGUCGAGCGGGAGAGCUUGAGAGGCUGCCAUGGCCUCUCCACCUCGAAGCUUGGCUUGUCUGACCUCGACCUUCGAAACUCACAACCGCCAUGACCGCUCUAGCUAGAAGAUUGGCUUAAGGGUCUAAUUUAGUCCUUCAAAGCUUGCAGGUAGUCACCAGUUGCCAUGGCCAAGCUUCGAAUUCGCAGGUGGUCCCCAGCCGCCAUGGCCAAGCUUCGAAGCUCACCACUGCCAUGACCGCUCUAGCUCAAAUAUUGGCUUGAGGUAUGACCUCGACCUUUGAAGCUCGCGAGUAUUCGCAGACAGCCAAGGCCAAGUUUUGAAGCAGCUUGAAGGUCGAGCUUUGAAGCUCACAACCGCCAUGGCCGCUCAAGCUCACCGCUUGGCUUGAUCAUCUGUCCUUCAUCUUCAAACCUCGUGAAUGGUCGGGCAACCGCCAACCAGCACCAUCGGAGGAGUUUGGCCAAGAGAUUGAAGACGAUGAACGCGGUGAAUAGUACUUUGCAAAAGUAUCGGAGAAGACGACGACUGGUGCAAUUUUUUUUCUUUAUAGUUAUUAAUUUUUGGAGAAUGUGGCGCCACAUCAAAGCCACUUGCAAAAGUGUCACGUUUGAUUCAUAUUAAUUUUUAGAGAAAAAGCCACGAAAAAUCCUGAACUUUACCCAAAAUAACACAUUUACCCCAAACUUUUUUUUGUGACGUAAAAAACCUCAAACUUUCUAAACCGUGACACAUUUACCCCAUUAAGGGCAUUUUUGUCUUUUUAUUAUGUUUUUUCCUUUUUCUUUUUUUUCUUCUUUUCUUAUUCUUCCCUCCGCCGGCCAUGGCGGAGCCGGCGGAGGGAAGAAAAAGAAAAAAAAAAAUUUUAGAAAUUGGAAAAAACAUAAAAAAAAGACAAACAUGUUUUAAAAAUGAAAAGACCCAAAAGGCCUCUCGUUUUGGGGCAGAUAUGUCACGGUUUGGAAAGUUUGGGGUUUUUCACAUCCACAAAAAAAAGUUUUUGGCAAAUGUGUCACUUUGAGCAAAGUUCAGGAUUUUUUGUGGCUUUUUCCCCUAAUUUUUAAAGGUGAUUUUAGAUGGAACGGUAAGGAAGGGUUAUUGUGUAGAAUAAAUAUAAUUUAAAAUAUUUUGUGAUCUUUUCCCUUAUUUUAAAGAUAUCUUUGUCCGAUUGAUAUGAAUGUCCAGAAGUUGACGACGAUAGACAGGGAGGAGACUGACACUAGCCCAUGUUGCCAACCAGAUAAACGGGGAGGAGAUUGACACUAGCCCUUGUUGCCAACCAAAUUAUUAAAGUGACAAGUUGUGAGAGUUAAUGAAAAUGAUUAAUAUUACGAAAAAAACUCAAACCGGUAUACAUGUGACAAGUUUACUUCAAUACCUAAGAUAAUUUUAACUUGGAGUAAUUUUCUAAACAUCAAAAAUCUUGAAGUAAUGCAUUUAUUUCUGUUAAAUUAUAUAGUAUACUUAUGACAAAUGGAAUAUAAAAUUUCAAAUUAGUACACUACUUAAUUACCAAGUGUCAUCCAACUUAAUAAUUUAAUAGUAAAAUUUAAUGAAGACUAAAUAAAUAAAUAAAUAAACGUCUUUACCAAAAAAAAUUAUUAAAAGACUUUACCAAAAAAAAAAACGAUAAAUUUAUCACAAAUAUAUCAGUUUAGUGCUUUUGAUGUUCAAAAAUUAGUUCGGGGUAAAAUCGCCCAUUUACCAAUUUCAAGCUUUUCGUUAUAUUAACCUUAAUGAAAAAUAAAGUACUUUAAGGAUGAAUUUUAACCCUCUAGCAUGUCAAUUCCUUCAAAAAUACUCCUGGAAUUUUAAUGUGCUUUUUAAUAGUAUCUCACACGUCACAUAAUCAUAAAAUUUAACAAGAUGAUAUAUGCACAAUGAUCUACCUCACUUUGAUAUUCUACAAUUAGAAUAUCUAAAUAAUAAGUACCGCCUUCAUUCAUCAACCUAAGCUUUUAAAAGAGUCGGUAUUAGCCCUCAAAAAUUUCAUAUAAUAUCAAGGGAAAAUGUCACAAAUAAUCCUUGAACUUUUACUUAAUAUGCAAUAUCGUCCUUGAACUUUCGAUUUACUCAAUUUGGUCCCUAAAUUAUCGAUAAAUAUUCGAUCUAGUCCUUCCGUUCAAACCGUUAAGUGAGGAUUGUUUUUCAUUUCUUCUUUUUUUUCUUCUCUCUUCCCUCCGCCGGCCAUGGCAGAGCCAAUGGAGGGAAGCCAACAUCCAGCAAGGGUUGCCCUUGCUUGGGCUAGCUAGGGCCACCCUCACCAGUGUCGAGCGAGAGCCGUCCUUGCCUGCGUCGGGCAAGGACGGCCCUCACCCGACGUCGGCAGGGGCGGCCCUCGCCCGAUGCCGGCAAGGGUGGCCCUAGCCAGCCCAAGCGAGGGCGACCCUCGCUAGACGCCGGCUUCCCUCCACCAUGGUCGGCGGAGGGAAGAGAGAAGAAGAAGAAAAAAAAGAAAAGAAAAAUCAAAAUGCCCAAUUCCAUUAACUUUAACUAGCGGAAUGAUGAAAUUGGUCAAUUUUCAAAUAGUUAUGGGCUAAAUCGAACAUUUAUCGAUAGUUCAAUGACCAAAUUGAGUAAAUCGAAAGUUCAGGGACAAGAUUGCACAUUAAAUAAAAGACGAGGAAUUAUUUGUGACAUUUUCCCUAAUCUCAAAGUUAGGAGGUCUACGCACCUCAUCCAUCUUUGCCUUGUCAUCCACCGGUCCACGUUUGACUUUCCCUAAGCACCUAAACUACGAUGUAUCACGUGGUUUUGUAAUGUAAUGGACCCCAUUUAUGGCAGACCCCAUUUUCCAGCACUAACACUAGGCCAUCAAUAAUAUAUACAAUUACGUGAGGACUGUGCCCAAGAACCAAAGCUAUGAUGUCCCCCGUGGUGAUUUGUUUAGCAGAUGCAGUGGAUCCCAUGUACUUGUACCCCAUUUUCCUACAGCUGGCUAUCAAUAGGUCGUACCAGACAUUCCCGACACAUUGUUUAGUCUUCUUUUUUGGCCACUUGGGGACCUAAAUGUUCGCCUUUGAUUAUAAAAAGUGCCCAUCACCUUAUGUAUAUCCUCAAGGAAGCAACCGAGCACCCAUCCAAACUUUGCCUGACGCCAAAGCAUAGAGAGCGAAAAAUGAGUUCCGCUCAAAGCCAAGUGAAACCCUGCCAUGAAGAAGAAGAAGAAGACCCAUGCCUCAAAGCCCUCCUGUACUCUAGCUCUCAAGUCUUCCCAAGGAUCCUGCACGCCGCGGUCGAGCUCGACCUCUUCGGGAUCAUAGCCCGAGCGGGCCCCGGGGCCUACAUGUCGCCCCCCGAGGUGGCUGCCCACCUCCCUGCCCGGACCCCCGAGUCGGCCGAGAUCAUUGACCGGGUCCUCCGUUGCCUAGCAAGCCACUCGCUCCUUGCAUGCAAGUCCGAGACACUCGACGGCGGGAGGACUGUGGAGAGGCGGUACGCGAUAUCGCCGGCCGGGAAGUACUACGUCAGGGAUGAGGAUGGCACCUCCGUCGGCUCGCUCUCUCUCUUCGCCUUCCACCAAGCUACCAUUGACGUCUGGUGAGUGGAAAUUCCUUCGUCUGUGAAUACAUGACCUAUAUAUGAUAUGAAAGAUAUUACCUGGGACAGGCUCAAGAUACACUGUCAUCUUAAC
rnacentral:lncRNA from 1 species